GGGAGCCGGAUGAGCCGAGAGGCUCACGUCCGGUUCUGAGAGGGGCUGGGGCUGAAAUGCCCCGGCCUACUCACC
rnacentral:ncRNA from 1 species